rnacentral:rRNA from 1 species
AUGCUUUUGAGUUGACGGUGCCUAACGAGGAAGCCCCGGCUAACUAUGUGCCAGCAGCCGCGGUAAUACAUAGGGGGCGAGCGUUAUCCGGAAUUAUUGGGCGUAAAGGGUACGUAGGCGGGCCUGCAAGUCUGAUUUGAAAGCACACGGCUUAACCGUGUGAGGUAAUUAGAAACUACGGGUCUAGAGAGUGGUAGAGGUAAAUGGAAUUCCAAGUGGAGCGGUGAAAUGCGUAGAGAUUUGGAGGAACACCAGUGGCGAAGGCGGUUUACUGGGCCACAUCUGACGCUGAUGUACGAAAGCGUGGGGAGCAAACAGGAUUAGAUACCCUGGUAGUCCACGCCGUAAACGAUGAGUGCUAAGUAUCGGUAGAAUCGGUGCUCAAGCUAACGCAGUAAGCACUCCGCCUGGGGAGUACGGUCGCAAGACUGAAACUCAAAGGAAUUGACGGGGACUCGCACAAGCGGUGGAGCAUGCGGUUUAAUUCGAUGCAACGCGAAGAACCUUACCAGGUCUUGACAUACUGUUGCUGGGGUUAGAGAUAAUCCGUUUCUUCGGAACAACAGAUACAGGUGGUGCAUGGUUGUCGUCAGCUCGUGUCGUGAGAUGUUGGGUUAAGUCCCGCAACGAGCGCAACCCUUAUCAUUAGUUGCUAACAGUAAGAUGAGCACUCUAAUGAGACCGCCGGCGCAAGCCGGAUGAAGG